GGCCGCGGGAAUUCGAUUAGAGUUUGAUCAUGGCUCAGGCCGUACGCUGGCGGCGUGCUUAACACAUGCAAGUCGAACGAACCAUUUGCACGGAAUCCCUCGGGAGGAAGUGUGAAUGACUGAGUGGCGGACGGGUGAGUAACGCGUGGGCAACCUGCCCCGUACCGGGGGAUAAUAGCCGGAAACGGCUGCUAAUACCGCAUAUGCUUUGCGGGCCGCAUGGCCCGCAAAGCAAAACUCCGGUGGUACGGGAUGGGCCCGCGUCUGAUUAGCUGGUUGGCGGGGUAACGGCCCACCAAGGCGACGAUCAGUAGCCGGCCUGAGAGGGCGGCCGGCCACAUUGGGACUGAGACACGGCCCAGACUCCUGCGGGAGGCAGCAGUGGGGAAUAUUGCACAAUGGGGGAAACCCUGAUGCAGCGACGCCGCGUGGGCGAGGAAGUACCUCGGUAUGUAAAGCCCUAUCAGCAGGGAAGAAACAGGACAGUACCUGACUAAGAAGCCCCGGCUAACUACGUGCCAGCAGCCGCGGUAAUACGUAGGGGGCAAGCGUUAUCCGGAUUCACUGGGCGUAAAGGGAGCGCAGGCGGCAUGGCAAGUCUGAUGUGAAAACCCGGGGCCCAACCCCGGGAGUGCAUUGGAAACUGCCAGGCUGGAGUGUCGGAGGGGUAAGCGGAAUUCCUAGUGUAGCGGUGAAAUGCGUAAAUAUUAGGAGGAACACCAGUGGCGAAGGCGGCUUACUGGACGAUUACUGACGCUGAGGCUCGAAAGCGUGGGGAACAAACAGGAUUAAAAUACCCUGGAUAUUCCACGCGUAAACGAUGAAUACCAGGUGCUGGGCGGCACCGCCCGCCGGUGCCGCAC
rnacentral:rRNA from 1 species